rnacentral:rRNA from 1 species
CCUACGGGUGGCAGCAGUGAGGAAUAUUGGUCAAUGGGCGCGAGCCUGAACCAGCCAAGUCGCGUGAGGGAGGACGGCCCUACGGGUUGUAAACCUCUUUUGCCGGGGAGCAACGGGCGUCACGUGUGGCGCCACUGAGGGUACCCGGAGAAAAAGCAUCGGCUAACUCCGUGCCAGCAGCCGCGGUAAUACGGAGGAUGCGAGCGUUAUCCGGAUUCAUUGGGUUUAAAGGGUGCGCAGGCGGGCCUUUAAGCCGGCGGUGAAAUCGCGGGGCUCAACCCCGCCGAGCCGUCGGAACUGGGGGCCUUGAGUGCGGCGGAGGCAUGCGGAAUGCGCGGUGUAGCGGUGAAAUGCAUAGAUAUCGCGCAGAACCCCGAUUGCGAAGGCAGCGUGCCGUGCCGCCACUGACGCUGAGGCACGAAAGCGCGGGGAUCGAACAGGAUUAGAUACCCGAGUAGUC